UGGUGAGGGUAACGGCCCACCAAGGCGACGAUCAGUAGCCGGCUGAGAGGUUGGCCGGCCACAUUGGGACUGAGAUACGGCCCAGACUCCUACGGAAGGCAGCAG
rnacentral:rRNA from 1 species